GGGAAAAUGCUUUUCCCUUGCCUUCCACCAAUCCAAAAGGUCGAAAGAGCCGUCUGGAUUCUCAUUCUCUAGUCCCUGCGACAAAUAAAUUUGAAGCUUAUUUAGAUGGGAAAAAUCAUCUACAUUUUCACCUUGAGUACCCCUGAAUUCCGUCCACGAUUUAAGAGUUGUUAAGCCAGCAGCUCUUUUAGGCGCCUGUGAUGUGGACGAAGUAGGGGUUGGAAUAUUAGGCCUAGUAUGCUCUAACGCCUGUUUAUAAGCAUU
rnacentral:lncRNA from 1 species